UACGGAGGAUGCAAGCGUUAUCCGGAUUUAUUGGGUUUAAAGGGUGCGUAGGCGGAUUAAUAAGUCAGUGGUGAAAUCUUUCGGCUCAACCGAGAAACUGCCAUUGAUACUGUUAAUCUUGAGUUCGGUUGAGGUAGGCGGAAUGUGUAAUGUAGCGGUGAAAUGCUUAGAUAUUACACAGAACACCAAUUGCGUAGGCAGCUUACUAGACCGACACUGACGCUGAGGCACGAAAGCGUGGGGAGCGAACAGGAUUAGAUACCCCCGUA
rnacentral:rRNA from 1 species